GACCGAAUGGCGUAGUGGUUAGUGACUCUGACUACUGAGCCGAAGGUCCCGGGUUCGAUUCCCGGCUGGGGCA
rnacentral:tRNA from 1 species